CAUGACUAUGAAACUACCUGGAGGGGUGUCCACAGACAGUAAAUAUUUGUCAUCUUUAUUUGACAGAGAGGAGCAGCUUGGAAUGUUUCCCCGGACUGUGCACCUCGACACGGCAGUGAGAUUUCCACGGGUCAUUCCCGGGCUCUGCGAAGAGUUCACAGCAGGAGUUAUUAAGCUGCAUGAAAUGAUGAGUAGAAGUCUGGAACCCUCAUCUUUUGGAUAAAAUGCUUCCAUUUCUCUAACUCCUGAAAGUUUUCACUAUCACUGAAGCAAAAUGGGUUCUCACAAUCCCUGAAACAGACAAGCCUGUGGGGGAGUACCCUUUGAUGGCCUGACAUUGGCAUUUUUGUGCUGAACAAGCUUCCUGGUCGUUAUGUCACCAAAAUAAAUAAAUAAAUAAAUAAAAUUGAAAACCUCUAU
rnacentral:lncRNA from 1 species